UAGGGAAUCUUCGGCAAUGGACGAAAGUCUGACCGAGCAACGCCGCGUGAGUGUAGAAGGUUUUCGGAUCGUAAAACUCUGUUGUUAGAGAAGAACAAGGACGUUAGUAACUGAACGUCCCCUGACGGUAUCUAACCAGAAAGCCACGGCUAACUACGUGCCAGCAGCCGCGGUAAUACGUAGGUGGCAAGCGUUGUCCGGAUUUAUUGGGCGUAAAGCGAGCGCAGGCGGUUUCUUAAGUCUGAUGUGAAAGCCCCCGGCUCAACCGGGGAGGGUCAUUGGAAACUGGGAGACUUGAGUGCAGAAGAGGAGAGUGGAAUUCCAUGUGUAGCGGUGAAAUGCGUAGAUAUAUGGAGGAACACCAGUGGCGAAGGCGGCUCUCUGGUCUGUAACUGACGCUGAGGCUCGAAAGCGUGGGGAGCAAACAGG
rnacentral:rRNA from 2 species